CAAUAGCGUAUAUUUAAGUCGUUGCAGUUAAAAAGCUCGUAGUUGGAUUUCGGUUAAGAGCGACCGGUCCGCCGUUUGGUGUGCACUGGUUGGUUUUAACUUCCUGUAGAGGACGUGCUCUGGGUUUAACGACCUGGACUCGGAGUCUACGUGGUUACUUUGAAAAAAUUAGAGUGUUCAAAGCGGGCUUACGCUUGAAUAUUUCAGCAUGGAAUAACACUAUAGGACUCCUGUCCUAUUUCGUUGGUCUCGGGACGGGAGUAAUGAUUAAGAGGAACAGUUGGGGGCAUUCGUAUUUCAUUGUCAGAGGUGAAAUUCUUGGAUUUAUGAAAGACGAACUUCUGCGAAAGCAUUUGCCAAGGAUGUUUUCAUUAA
rnacentral:rRNA from 1 species